rnacentral:rRNA from 1 species
GACGAACGCUGGCGGCGUGCCUAAUACAUGCAAGUCGAACGCACAGUUUAUACCGUAGCUUGCUACACCAUAGACUGUGAGUUGCGAACGGGUGAGUAACGCGUAGGUAACCUGCCUGGUAGCGGGGGAUAACUAUUGGAAACGAUAGCUAAUACCGCAUAAUAUUGAUUAUUGCAUGAUAAUUGAUUGAAAGAUGCUAUUGCAUCACUACCAGAUGGAACUGCGUUGUAUUAGCUAGUAGGUGAGGUAACGGCUCACCUAGGCGACGAUACAUAGCCGACCUGAGAGGGUGAUCGGCCACACUGGGACUGAGACACGGCCCAGACUCCUACGGGAGGCAGCAGUAGGGAAUCUUCGGCAAUGGACGAAAGUCUGACCGAGCAACGCCGCGUGAGUGAAGAAGGUUUUCGGAUCGGAAAGCUCUGUUGUAAGAGAAGAACGGGUGUGGGAGUGGAAAGUUCACACUGUGACGGUAUCUUACCAGAAAGGGACGGCUAACUACGUG